AUUGAACGCUGGCGGCAUGCCUUACACAUGCAAGUCGAACGGCAGCACGGGAGCAAUCCUGGUGGCGAGUGGCGAACGGGUGAGUAAAGUAUCGGAACGUGCCCAGUCGUGGGGGAUAACGUAGCGAAAGUUACGCUAAUACCGCAUACGAUCUAUGGAUGAAAGCGGGGGAUCGCAAGACCUCGCGCGAUUGGAGCGGCCGAUAUCAGAUUAGGGAGUUGGUGGGGUAAAGGCUCACCAAGCCGCCGAUCUGUAGCUGGUCUGAGAGGACGACCAGCCACACUGGGAGUGAGACACGGCACAGACUCCUACGGGAGGCAGCAGUGGGGAAUUUUGGACAAGUGGCGAAAGCCUGAUCCAGCCAGGCCGCGUGCAGGAUGAAGGCCUUCGGGUUGUAAACUGCUUUUGUACGGAACGAAAAGGUUUGGCCUAAUAAGCUGAGCUCAUGACGGUACCGUAAGAAUAAGCACCGGCUAACUACGUGCCAGCAGCCGCCGUAA
rnacentral:rRNA from 1 species